GUGUGUGUGUGUGUUUUGGGACUAAAAUUCCCAUCAUCCCUGACCUCUGGUCCUGUUAGCUAGGGAUGGUGGGAAUUGUAGUCCCAAAACAUACAU